CUAAUGUGGAAGUCUGGGCUCGACUACCACCGGCGAGAGCCAUCUGCAAUUUGGCUAUGCCUGCUGUAGCAGCGUUCAGGCAAGCCUUCAAAUGCCAGCCGCAUCAUCGACUGGUCACCAACUUCACUUUUCUCGAACCAACCUCGACGACCCACCGUGCUUAACCGUAGUGCGACCAAGUAUUGAACUAUUCACCUGGGCCUAAACCUACCCGUCAACAGCUGAAAGGAUUCACUCACGUGGGUUCAUUUCUGUCCAGCCAGGAUGAGGAGGCUGUGUGGUCAGUCCAGCCCGACGGUGCCGUGGUUGUGCC